GUCCUAGCUUCGGCUGGACAUAUACUAAAAUUGGAACGAUAUUUACAGAGAAGAUUAGCAUGGCCCUGCGCAAGGAUGACACGCAAAAUCGUGAAGCGUUCCACAUUUUU
rnacentral:snRNA from 2 species